UCAAUCUGUUCUUCUGAUCCUUAAAGGGAAGUCAAAAUGAAUGAUCUGAAUGCACGAAGGAAUCAGAUGAAUAUAAGAGCAGCUGGAAAUGGUUGAGAUGAUAAAUGUAACUGGAACUGGCCUCUGCUGAUUUCACUGUCUGGCUUGGCAUUUUACCAGUGGCUCAUGCAAAGGAGAAUAAGAAAUGAAAUGGACUGCUUGAGGAGAAGCAUUGAGAAAGACAGAAGGGAGGACAAAGCAAUGGCUGUGAUUCACGAGAUCCGCAGGUUGUUACAUGAUAGACAAGACAUCAUUUGCAGCAAUACUGUCCCAUAUUUUGCUCAGCGGACAAGAGAGCAAGAGUUAACCAUCCUGGCAUGCAGUGACCCUUUCGCAAAUCAACUCAAUAUAAAAGCUGAUCUCCUCAAGGUCUUCCAGCAUUCUAAAACCUGCUCAAGAGCCACAAUAAACACAUGUGUUGAAGACUGGCAGAGAAAACUUAAAGAUUUACUUAAAAAUGAGCAAAAAUAGAUUGCCACAUAAUUUUAUAAGCAAUAAUUUAGGAAAAAUCAGGAUUAGUUUGACCCAGUGAUACACUGGACUUAUGUUUGUAUGUUAUGUUGUAUUUUAAUGCCAGUUGUAUGUGAAUGUGUGAAUGUUCAGUGAUAUUGGUAAUGUGUAUGAAAUGUGUUAUGAAACUGAGCUGAACCAAGCAAUCUGUACUAACAGCAUAUGUAAUUUUAGUCGAGUGGCUAAACAUUGACUGUGUUAUACAGUUUGCAAAAAAUAAAUAAAUGCCUGUCUGUCUGUUCAAAAUUGCAUAU